CAAGACCUGGACUGAGAACUCUGGCUAAAACUGUUUAUUAUGACCCUGAACGGUGGAUCACUCGGCUCGUGGAUCGAUGAAGAACGCAGCAAAAUGCGCUAAUCCAUGCGAACUGCAGAACACAUGGAGCAUCGAAACUUUGAACGCAAAUGGCGGCCCAGCUUCGCGCUCGGGCCACACCUGGCUGAGGGUCGGAUG
rnacentral:rRNA from 1 species